rnacentral:piRNA from 1 species
UUCUAAGGCCUACUUAUCACAAUCUUUAG